rnacentral:rRNA from 1 species
GACGAACGCUGGCGGCGUGCUUAACACAUGCAAGUCGAACGGAAAGGCCCUGCUUGCAGGGUACUCGAGUGGCGAACGGGUGAGUAACACGUGGGUGAUCUGCCCUGCACUUCGGGAUAAGCCUGGGAAACUGGGUCUAAUACCGGAUAGGAGCCAUUUUUAGUGUGAUGGUUGGAAAGUUUUUUCGGUGUAGGAUGAGCUCGCGGCCUAUCAGCUUGUUGGUGGGGUAAUGGCCUACCAAGGCGGCGACGGGUAGCCGGCCUGAGAGGGUGGACGGCCACAGUGGGACUGGGAUACGGCCCAGACCCCGACGGGAGGCAGCAGUGGGGAAUAUUGCACAAUGGGCGCAAGCCUGAUGCAGCGACGCCGCGGGGGGGAGGACGGCCUUCGGGUUGUAAACUCCUUUCGCUAGGGACGAAGCUUUUUGUGACGGUACCUAGAUAAGAAGCACCGGCUAACUACGUG